GUUAAAUUUUAGCAAAUGAAUAUGAGGUGACAGCCAUGCAAUCACAUGGCAUCAUUUAUUAGCACUAGUUUGUCUUAAAACUUGAACACAGAGAGUCAGGGCCAGCCAAAUGGAAAUUGUCUGCUCAUAGGAGAAGCCCCGGGGCCAUACUCUGAAAGAGGUAGCUUGGCGACAGACAAAUUUUCUAAGAGAGACAGUAUGGGGAGAAGAAAAGGCAAAGGUCCAAGACUCAAAAAAUGAAUGAAUGUUAAAACAUCAGAAGAGCAAGAUAAACGAGUUAAGAAGAUGGCACAGGAGCCGCAGAGAGGUGGAAGAUGGCUUGGAAGAGUGAAAACAGUUUUGCUGAGGACAGGUAAGGUAUGGGUCAUUCUGAUAUUAUCUAAUGUUAUCUAUAUAUCAUUACCAUAUAUACCAUAUCAUUAUCUAAUGUCAUCUAUAUAUCAUUACCAUAUAUACUAAUUAUCUAAUGUUAUGAUUUUUUUAGUUAAAAAGCAAUACAUUAGAUAGUGUAAUAACCAUUUAAUUUGGUUUAUAAGUUACAGAAAAAAAUUUUUUGUUACUUUGAAGUCACCAUUUAUUUUAUCAAAUGAUGUAAUUUUACCUCUCCAAGUAAUUUAAACUCCCCAGUCCUUAGAAUCUAGGUAUAAAUGAAGCUCAGAGCUCUCUUUCAAUUGGAUAAUUAGCUCACGAGUGGUUGCUCUAUUUCUCACUCACCUCAUUCACAUACAGGGCUCAGCUCUGAAUUGCUUCUGGCUCAUUCCAAAAGCCAAGUGCUCAAACAUGAAGACUUCUUUUUAUUGGAAGUAUUUGAAAGGGCAUGCCAUAUUCCAAAUAUGAAUUCCAAAUAUGCUUUAAAUAAUGGCAGCAUCAAUAAAGUCCACUUUUCUCUAAGACUAUUUUUUAAGAGGCCAAAACAUUUGAAUGAAGCAGUUGAUUUCUAAAAAGUGACUUUUAAUGUUUCUUGUACCUUCAAUCAUACCUAGACACUGAAUGGAUUUCAGAAAGUCAUAGGGCCUGGGUGGAAGCCCCAACACAACAGCAGAGUGGAAUCAUGGAUUGGCUAUUCUAUAAUCCAUUCGCCGUGACUGAGGGUGAGAAGUGGAAUUCUAUUUGAGGCUAUAUUUGAGAGCCAUCUUUGAAAAUGAAGAAGUAGUUUGGGCUCUGGGUAUCUUUUCUUUCCUUUUUUUCCCCUUUUUUUCUGAUACAGCCUUCAGCUGAAUGAAAUGUGGGCUUUGAGAUCACCUGUGAUAGCAUUCUCUA
rnacentral:lncRNA from 1 species